GAUGAACGCUGGCGGCGUGCUUAACACAUGCAAGUCGAACGAAGCACCUUGAUUCGAUUCUUCGGAUGAAGAUCUUGGUGACUGAGUGGCGGACGGGUGAGUAACGCGUGGGUAACCUGCCUCAUACAGGGGGAUAACAGUUAGAAAUGACUGCUAAUACCGCAUAAGACCACAGCACCGCAUGGUGCAGGGGUAAAAACUCCGGUGGUAUGAGAUGGACCCGCGUCUGAUUAGGUAGUUGGUGGGGUAACGGCCUACCAAGCCGACGAUCAGUAGCCGACCUGAGAGGGUGACCGGCCACAUUGGGACUGAGACACGGCCCAGACUCCUACGGGAGGCAGCAGUGGGGAAUAUUGCACAAUGGGGGAAACCCUGAUGCAGCGACGCCGCGUGAGCGAUGAAGUAUUUCGGUAUGUAAAGCUCUAUCAGCAGGGAAGAAAAUGACGGUACCUGACUAAGAAGCACCGGCUAAAUACGUG
rnacentral:rRNA from 1 species